CAAUAGAGACGGUCUCUCACAGUCAGCAUGAAUUUAGCCCCCUUACUAGUAACUUACAGGCUGUCUAGUAGCUCUUGUUAAUAACAGUUUUCUCAGCUUUUUUCUUCUCGUUAGCCACUUCAGUUGCUGUGAGGAUGAUUACUAAUAGUUGCUAAGAUAAAUCUAUAUCUGUGGCAGGGGUAGGAGAAUCCUAUUCAUGACCUUCAUCUUGAUUCACUUCUGUCUUAAUACAGGGGACAGUAAGGAACCACUGUCCAUAUACUUCAGUGCUCCUGAGUCCCUGAAGUAUCAUAUCUUCUCUGCUUUCUCUGACGCAUGGGCCAUUGCUGCGACAUUUUACUCCAUUCUCCUGUAUGGUGGGCAGACAUACUUUGAACUCAGGCACUUGCCUGUGUCCAGGUUCAUAGAAGAGAUGUGCAGUGGGCACAGAGCACAAAGACCAGACUCAAUUCCCCUGAAGCUGUGGGACAUGAUAGCCCCUAACUUGGAGCAUAAUGAGACAGAGCGUACAUCCAUGGAGGCAUUGGUAGAGCACUUGAAAAACUACCGUAGUACCCUGGGGUCGGGUCUGGACAAGCGGCAUGAGAUAACGAGUCAGUUCUCUCCCAUCUGCGAGGAAGAUAUCAUAAGGGUAACUGUCAGUGCUGCUUAG
rnacentral:lncRNA from 1 species